AACGCACCUUGCACUCUUUGGUAUUCCGAAGAGUAUGUCUGUUUGAGUGUCAUGAAACUCUCAACCCCCUUGUUUUGUAAUGAAGCAAGCGUGGGCUUGGAUUAUGGCUGCUGCCGGCGUAAUUGUCGACUCGGCUGAAAUACACGAGCUACCCAUUUCUAAGAAAUAGACGGUUUGACUCGGCGUAAUAACAUAUUUCGCUGAGGACGUCACAUUCUUAAUCAUUAGUGGUGCUUCUAAUGCGACAUCUAAAUUUAAGCUUUAGACCUCAAAUCAGUCAGGACUACCCGCUGAACUUAA
rnacentral:misc_RNA from 1 species